rnacentral:lncRNA from 1 species
AUUGUGCCUUUUUUUCUUGGUUUAUCUCAAUAAGAUGUUGAUGAAAGACAAAACUUGUAUGACAUUCUGCAAUGUGGUCUUGUUAUGUGUUGUCGUUUCGAUUAAUAAGAGUUCUAAAUGAAAUUGAAGAAUAAAGAAUGACUCUUACAAAAAAUACAAGCAUUCAACGUUCUCUCUCCUCUAACGCAUUUCUCUCUCGACCUCACCUUCUAAAACUCGUGAAUCUUACCCUCCGGCGUACGGCCGGCGCGUCCGCGCGAGUGCUGGAGCCGGAGGGUCUCUUUCAUCCCUUUCCUCAUUUUUCUCUUUGCUCUCAACCCCUUCUAUCCUCCUUUGCUCGAUAUGCUCGUAGUUCUAGAUUAGGGCAGAAUCCGGCGGAGGCUUCAGUCGCGAGUAGCUGAUUCAUGGUGGAGGUGGCUCUUUCUCCGGACCUGCAGCGAGGGUUCAGUGAGGUGGAGAGAUUGAGAGUCGGUUUUGGGUUCAUGGAGCGCUCCGUCUUUCCCCCUUUAGGAUCGCUCCGGUCGUCGUCGUCGUUGAGUGGAGGCGAUGGGUCUCGGCACGGCCAGGUUUGUUGGUGGUAAUCUGCCGCAGAUCUUGUGUUUCGUGCUUGUUCGGUGAGGGUGGUGGUUACUUAGGGUUUCUUCGGGUCGGAGUGAUUCCGGUGGCCACUCGCUGUUAUCAAGAGUUCUCCAUUCUUUGUUUGAGAUGGAGGCGAGGCUAAAGGCGGAUAUAAUCGUGGUGAAAGUGUCCGGCUUGAUGCCUUGUGCGCGUGCCUCUGGUUACGCUUCCACGGGUCGUCUAUGGCCUUGAGAAGGUUGCUAGAUGUACCGCAUCUCUUUUAGAGCCUCCGCUUCCGGUGUCCUGCUUAGUUUUUCUCCGUGAGUUUGGCGACGGCCUCACUUAAAGAGUCAAGUCUCAUGUUCUUCAUCGUGGUAUCAAUCCUAUGGCUCAUGGGUUGAUUUGUUAGCGUUCAAGGAACUGGUCCUUUGGUUCUCAAAGGCCAGGGAUGCGUAGAUGGUUUCUCGGGAGUCAUUACCUUCUACGAGCCAGCAUCUCGUCAUAGCUCACAUCCCGGCACCGUAGUGUUCUAUGGUGGUGUAGCUGACUUUCUUGCAGGUUUUGGGACUGCUUUUCAGGAUGUGGCGGUGUAGACAACCCGUCUUUUGUUUAGGUUUCGUUGAUGGCUGAAGCGAAUACUUACUCGUUCUGGGAUCCGGUUCAGGCGUCGUGUGGCGCUUCGUUCAUUCCGGCUUUGUUGUUCGCAAGGCUCUGGUAUGUACUUGAACUCUCCCCUUCGGACGUCUAGAGCUUCAUUGACAGAGAAAGUUGUGAGCUUCGUGGAGAUCAUCGGGAACUAGCUACUCCAGAAACGUCAAGGGAACUCCCGACAUCCAAUGAAACGAGGAGAACCUCACUUUCGUGAGAGUCACGUUGAUGGUUGAGAACGGCUACCGAUAUCGAAAUAUUUCGAAAAACAACCUAGCGGAACGUGCCGGGUUUAGUGGGUGGGCGAAGUUAGGCUUGUAAUAGUUAGAUUUCGACAUUUUGUUCAAAACAAGCUUGUAACUGCAUCUGAUUUCCGAUUCUUCGGACAGAUUUUAUAUAUAUAAGUAUUAAAAAAAAAAAAAAAAGAAUAAGAAUGACUCUUACACAUGCAAGGACAGGUGUGUAUGUUAUUCAUCUAAACAAACUACGCCCCUUUUCGAUCGAAAAUGGAGUUGUCUAUGAAAAUUGGCCUAACAGGAUCAGCCAUCAUACAUUCAUACUUGAUUAUUUGGGCCGGAGUAAUAUUUUUUUAAGAGUAAUAUUUUUAAACAGCCAUUUUUAAGUUUUUAUCACUAAAAUGACUAAAGUAUAAUUUUUUAUUUUGAAAAUUUUAAGUGUAUUUUUUUUUAAAAAUUUAAAAUCUUAUCC